CCAAGAAUGUUUAUUUGUAGUUUGGAUUCUUUGUGGAUGUCAGUUGUUUGUUCAUAUAAUGAUGAUGGGCCCCAUUAUUAUAUGAGCCCACCUGAAGGUGGUCAACUGAUACUCACAGAAGAUCUACUCUGCACUAAACAUUCUUUAUGUGAUGAUAUAACUGGGGUAUUGAAGUGGUCCCUUUCCCUUUGCUCGAAGUUGCGUAUAUAAAGGAAUGAAGUAGCUACAAAAGAAGAUAGAAAAAGUUUGGUUAUAGCCUUUGAUCGCUUCGCUAAACGGUCCAACAGCUGGAUUUGGUCUUUCCCUUCUCGCAUUGUGUGAUAUAGUCUUUGCUUCAGAAAAGGCAACUUUUCAAACGAAGUUUGUGGAGUGGGGUCAUCCUCCAGUUGGAUGUUGCUCUCUAACUUUACCUCAUUUAUAUGGUCGUUCACAGCACGAAACUCGACUGCUACAUGGCAAAGGAAUGCAGAAUUGUCGCAGAAAUUUUAUCUUUCAAACAUUUGGAGAAGGAACUCAAUUAACGUUUGGCGAGAUUUUCACUAGUUUCUAGACAGUGCCUGCGAGACACAAAGACGUUGAUGGUCAGCAGUAAUAUGAAGAACUUCAGUUUAAAAAUCACGAGGAAUGCGAUUUGUUUCAAAAGUACAUCAGCAACGAUGAUAUUGUGGAUUGCAUCGUAAGUUGAUGGUGGACGAGCUUACAGGAAUGACUUACCAUCCAGGUAUACUUGCGAUCAGACUUAUGGCGCGUGCUAAUAUUUAUUGUACAAAUAGGAUAGUGUGUCCCAAUGAUCCGUUUGUAACCGUUACGCAGCGGAAAUUGUAUUCCUAAUGAUCCGUUUGUAACCUUUACGCAGCGGAAUUUGUAGCGUUGUUUGUGUAAAUCAUUCGUAACUUGAGUUGAAUAACAAAACAUAUUCGUUCAUUUAA